rnacentral:rRNA from 1 species
AACGAACGCUGGCGGCAUGCCUAACACAUGCAAGUCGAACGAGACCUUCGGGUCUAGUGGCGCACGGGUGCGUAACGCGUGGGAACCUGCCCUUAGGUUCGGAAUAACUCCCCGAAAGGGGUGCUAAUACCGGAUAAUGUCUUCGGACCAAAGAUUUAUCGCCUUUGGAUGGGCCCGCGUUGGAUUAGCUAGUUGGUAGGGUAAAAGCCUACCAAGGCGACGAUCCAUAGCUGGUCUGAGAGGAUGAUCAGCCACACUGGGACUGAGACACGGCCCAGACUCCUACGGGAGGCAGCAGUGGGGAAUAUUGGACAAUGGGCGAAAGCCGGAUCCAGCAAGGCCGCGGGAGUGAUGAAGGCCUUAGGGUGGUAAAGCUCUUUUACCCGGGAUGAUAAGGACAGGACCGGGAGAAUAAGCUCCGGCGAACUCCGU